rnacentral:rRNA from 1 species
AGUGAACGCUGGCGGUAGGCCUAAUACAUGCAAGUCGAACGGCCGCACAGUAAGCGCUUGCUCUUACGGGUGGCGAGUGGCGGACGGGUGAGGCAUACAUCGGCAUCUACUUUUUCGUGGGGGAUAACGUAGGGCCACUUACGCUACUACCGCAUACGACCUACGGGUGAAAGCAGUGGUUCUUCGCGGCUUGCGCGAUUCAAUGAGCCGACGUCGGAUUAGCUAGUUGGCGGGGUAAAGGCCCACCAAGGCGACGAUGCGUAGCUGGUCUGAGAGGAUGAUCAGCCACACUGGAACUGAGACACGGUCCAGACUCCUACGGGAGGCAGCAGUGGGGAAUAUUGGGCAAUGGGCGCAAGCCUGACCCAGCCAUGCCGCGUGAGUGAAGAAGGUCUUCGGGUUGUAAAGCUCUGUUGUUGGGAAAGAAAAGCAGCAGGUUAAUACCCCGCUGUUCUGACGGUACCCAAAGAGUAAGCACCGGCUAACUUCGUG